rnacentral:rRNA from 1 species
AGAGUUGAUCAUGGCUCAGGACGAACGCUGGCGGCGUGCUUCAUACAUGCAAGUCGAACGAGAAGCUUAACUCGGUUGAGUGGAAAGUGGCGGACGGGUGAGUAACAUGUAGGGAAUCUACCCUUGGGAUGGGGACAACAGUUGGAAACGACUGCUAAAACCCGAUAUGAUAUUAUUUGAGAUAGUAAUAUUGAAAACUCCGGUGCCCAAGGAUGAGCCUGCACCUGAUUAGCUAGUUGGUGGUGUAAUGGACUACCAAGGCGACGAUCAGUAGCUGGUUUGAGAGGAUGAUCAGCCACAAUGGGACUGAGACACGGCCCAUACUCCUACGGGAGGCAGCAGUAGGGAAUUUUGCGCAAUGGGGGAAACCCUGACGCAGCAACGCCGCGUGAUUGAAGAAGCCCUUCGGGGUGUAAAGAUCUGUCAGUGGGGACGAAAUAAUGACGGUACCCACAGAGGAAGCACCGGCUAACUCCGUGCCAGCCGCCGC